CCGGGAGUGCUCUUCAGGGCAGCCAGCUCUGCCCUGGUGGGGUCGGAGGGUCUGACCGCUGGCAAGGAUAGGCCCGGACAAGGGUUUUGCACUCUGGGGAGAACCAGAAUACCAGUUUCCUAGUCGCUCGUCUCAGGACUUAAUGAAGCUCAGGUUCUUUAUGUCUUGGCACAGAAGGAAUUCAGCGAGAGGCAAAGUGAUAGGGUUUUGGACUCUGCUGUGAAGACUGGUUUGCUGGUAUGCCAGAGGCAAGAUGGUAAG